rnacentral:lncRNA from 1 species
CCCCAGGAUUUCUGGGGCUCUUGCUGUCUGUGCUGUGCAGAGGAAGGAAAGAGAGCCCUGGGGCGGAGGGUGGAGGUGGGUCCAAAGUUCCUUCUUGCCACCACCCCUGUCUGUCCUGGGAGCUGCUGUCACCAUCAUAGUGCCUGUGAGUUUGCAGCAGGGCAGAGGGGGAGGAAGAGGGAGCUGGAGGGGGGAGCUGGAGUGAAGACGGUGUCUGUGUGUGCAAGUUGGGGCACGUCGAUCAGGUGCCAGAACCCAUGGGACUCGCUGACUUAUGGGGCCACCACUGGGCAGAAAUCCUGCUUAUAGGUGAGUGUACUGUUCCAUUCAGAUGUGGAUGGGGCUGGUGCGUGCGUGUGUGCGUGUGUGUGUGUGUGUGUACAAAAAAGAUACAAAGAGAAAUAGGCACACAGAAAUAAAUACAAAAGAGAUUGACAAAUGUAGAGAGACACCAGAGAUAAUGACAUACAUACAGAAAGGAAUGGAGUUGGGACCACAGGACCAGAGACCCAGAGAGAAAUAGAAGGACAGAGAGGCAAAGAGUGAAAAUAACAGUAGAAACUGUAGCAGAGGGGAAAACAGGGAGGGACAGAUAGGAGAGAGGGAGACAGAGGACAAAGAGACAGGAAGGAAAGUGUACAAACACACAGAGAAAUAGACUUGGGGAGUCGUGGAGAGAGAGACCCAGCAAAAGAGAGGUAGGAACACAGCGGACAGACAGGUCACACCAGGGGACGGAUAUGAAAUUUAUGCUUAAAGGGUCUCUGAGCUAGAAUGUUUUGAUAAGCAUUUUGGAGGCAAAGAAAUGACUUUUCAACGGGUGGUGUGCAAAACUCAGCCCGGCUUUGCCGUGUGGCCCUGAGGCCGGCUCUUCCCUCUGGCUGACGCUGGCAGGCUGCAAGGGGCUCCGGGGUCCCAUGAGGGGCUGAAAGUCACCAGCUUCUCUGCAAAGUUUGCUUCCCCCCUGUGCGCAGAAGGCAAGACCCUGUAGGGAGGAGGCAGGAGGGAAGGGGCCAGGUAAAGGCUGUCUACAGAGGGAGGUUGAUCUCAAAUGGGUAUGAUGAGGCCCACCGUCGAUGACUGCACUCUCAGGAUUUCUUUUAUGACAGUUCUAUGAAGUGGGAACUAUUAUUACUCCAUUUUACAGAUGGGGAAACUGAGACUCGGAGGACAUCACUCGCCAAACAAAGCAAUGGCAAAGCUGGGAUUCAAGGGAAGGCAGUCAGGCUCUGGGUCCACAGGCAGAAAAUGCAAACUUAGGAAAUAAUAAUAAUAGUGACUGAACACUUCCUAUGAACCGUUUUAGGCACGUGACAUCUGAUAUCGAACCCCACAACAACCCGACGGACUAGGUUCUAUCCUCCCCAUUUUGCUGUUGGAGAAACUGGGGCUCGCAAAGUGAGCCCCGUGCCCGUGAUCGUGGAGCCAGGACGCAUCAGAAUCAGUAUUUGCUUCCAGAUAUCCUAAGAGCUCAUGCCCUUCACCGCUGACUCAGCAGGGAAUGGGGCCGUGCCCGAGCCAGACUGGGGUCCACUGAGGGCUGGAGAGAAAGAUGGCUGCCACCCUCUGUUGAUUGGGCAGAUGAGAGGGGUGGGGCGUGGGACGUCAAGGUCAGCUGUACCUAAGCGUGGCUGCUGGGGUGGGGGAGGGGGUCCCCACUCAUCCCCACAGUCUCUUCCAGUCUUGAAACUGUGUCGAAUGGCCAAAUGGAAAUCUGACAACUCCUGGUUCCCCUUGCCUCCCCUUGCUAGGGAAAUCUCUCCCUGAGGGCAAGAGUACCAGAGGUUAGUUUCCCCCAUCAGAGGUAAUAGAGGUUCCGGUUUGUGAGGGGAUAGGCUCUGUGCCCAUCCCUGGGCUGACAGGAGUCACGCGGUGUUGAGAACACAGUUUAGGGCCUGGCAGGCCACGUUCAGUCUUGUCUUCUGCCGCUCACUAUAACGGUCUUGGAAAGUGACUCCACCUCCCCGAGCAUCUCUUUCCUUCUGGAGUGUGGAAUGAGGAGACUGGUCACGUCCCUCCGUCAGGAUGAGCAUCGUCGGAAAGAGCACAGUGACCCUCAGGGGGCCGAAUUAAAGGUUACCAGUGUUCAUUACCACUUCACGACAACCUUAGGAUGCAGGUGAUAGGAUGCCCAUUGUGCAGCUGGACAAAUUGAGUCUCGAGAAGAUUAAACUCAUGCCACAAGUCACAUGGUCAAUAAGUACUGGAGAGGAGUCAAGCCUCUAGGGAUGAAGUGUCAUGUCCAUGACCCUGACCUCCCUCCAUUUAUGACGACCAUAACUGGAUACUGCCAACCCACCUCUCCCUCCCUGAAUGCUUCUUCUCUCUUUCCCACCAGCCUCACUUUUGACCAUGUGGAGUUUGCCAGCUGCCGUCCAGCUCACCUUUGAUGCCAACCCACUUACCACCAUCCAAAGUGAGAAGGAUGUCGUUCUGUCUAUGUUAGGGACCCCCCCCCCCCGGGGACCCCAGACUCAUCGUAGAUUCAGAGAUGCGAGCACAGAAAACAAGGCUCUCAUUCUGAUCCCUGCCUUCAUACCUAAAACACCCAUCGAGAUUCCACGCCCAAAGUCCUAAUAGAACAAAUCUGAUUGGCCAGCCAGGGUCUGGCAACAACCUGUCAGAUCAGCUGAUUUGGGGGAUGGGGUAAAGGGGUGGAUUGUAGCUGUCGUGGCUGGGGGUGGGAAAGGUUGGCUAAGACGUGGGUAGUGGGAUCUGGCUGGCAUCCGUUUCCAGCCUGAUUCUCCUUACAGCUGAUGUUAAUUGACCCAUUGUCAAACCCCAGAUCCUUCUGCUUUAUCUGUACGAUCCCAUUUAAUGAGGCUUAGAUUGGAAGUAGGUUGUCCACAAUCACACUCCAAAUGAGCAGUGGAUCUAGCAUUUGAGCCCAGGCAUUGAGCUCAUGUGUCUUGAGGCAAUUCCGAACCACCCUUGUCUCUCUGGGUCCCUCUGUGGCUACAUUUUGCUCGGCCCUCCUCUGUGUCUCUGCUCCUGCCUCCCUCUUUCUCUUCCUGCGCAGAACUGCUGGCCAGACCCACCAUUGCAAUCAGCCAGGACACUGCCACGGAACAGAGGGAAAACCUGACCUUCUGCUGUAGCACCCAGGAUGCUGACGUUACCAUCCACUGGGUCUUCAACGAUCUCCCCCUGGUGUUCCAUGAGCGCAUGCAGCUGUCCACAGAUGGCAAGACCCUCACCAUCCUCACUGUACAGCGGGAAGACUCUGGGACUUACAAAUGUGAAGCCCAGGCUUUCCACCAGGUCCGGAGCAGUGCUCCCACCUUCCUGACUGUGAACUGUAAGUCCCUUUCCAUUCUCCCCAGCCCCUCAUCGACACCCCCUUCCUUGGUGAUCUCAUUCAGUCUCACUGCUUCAGAUACCAUCCAAAUGUGGACUCGUCUACCCUUGGACUCCAGACGUAUAACCAUUUGAUGUCUCUACUUGGUUCUACUGGAAACUUCCAAGUUAACAUAUCUAAAACUAAGUUCUUUAACCUUCAGAUGUGUGCUACAAAAGCUUGUCUGGGUAGUGGCAAGGAAAGAGCAUUUAGACACGUCUUACAAUCCUGCUUUACCCAGGGAUAAGGCUGACAUUUAAUUUCCACUGGGUUCCUGUAUCUCCUUUGUAAUUGAUCCAGAGCUUGGGUGGGGGAGAAGAGAAAUAUUAAUAUUUAUUGACCCCUGAGCUCUGUCUCUCUCAGAAAGCCAUUGCUGAGCUGUUGUUGCUGCUAUGAUUGUUCUUGUGCUUCCAGAUGGUCCUGACCCCUUUGAAAUCAAGUUGGAGUCUGGCGUAUCCAGAGGGGAGGUGGUUGAAGUGAUAGAGGGCUCCACUGUGACCUUCUCCGUGGAAACACAGUCCCAUCCUCCCCCUGCCUAUACCUGGUUUCUCCCCUAUGACUCCAUCCCACCUCCCACCAUGAGUUCGUUCACCAUCCAAGCUGUGUCCCGGGAACAUGAAGGCACGUACAGGUGCUUGGUAUCCAACGGUGCUACCCACCUGCUUCGCCUGGGCGCUCUUACAGUUCGAGUCCUUGGUGAGCUUCUUCUUCCUGUUCCUCUCCUUUGUUCCUCUGAGAAUCAGGGCUAUACCAGUAUCCCGGAGGCUGAGAAGGACCCAGAGGAGUGGGGAUUUCUCGUGUGGCUGGUGGCAGCAUAGGGCUCUGGCCACAGGGAAGGUCCUGGCUCCUGGCUUGACGUGUCCUCCCCAAGACCUCGUUGGCUGUCUAUGGGUUGUCCAUUAUUUGAUUCUCUCUGAAAGUUGGCGGGGAGGGGCGGGCGUUGAUUCUCUGUCCAUACAAACACACAAUAUUCACACAUCUCACACACACAGAGUCUCACAUGCGUAAAUAACAACCACAUAUGCACAGCUGUGCACGAUACACACAAUUUACAUACGAUACCCAUAACACAGUGCAACCAACGUAUAACCUACACACGAAACAUACGACGUGCACACAGCUGACACACGAUAUACAUACUCCGUAGCUACAGGCACACACGACAGCCAUACACAAAGCGUGUCCACACCACACGAUGACACACGCCACGUACAUUCACAUGCAGAAGGCCCACGUACACGAUACAAACUCACAAUGCCUCACAGUCACACAACAAAUACGACACACGCAUACAGCAGACACAGACAUAUGCACGAGACGCGUCCAUAGACCACACCCUCACCAAACAUACAAAACCCGUCACGUCCUCGCGAUUGUUACACGACACCCGCAGCACCCGUAUCACGCAGUCACACACACACACACACACACACACACACAAGACGUACACAUGUAUCCCUGGAAAGCCCCCAAGGGCCCCCCGCCUGGGCAGGAGACUAGGGAAGGGGUCCCUGACCCCUACCCGUGUCUCUUUGUGUUUCCAGAAACGCUGACCAAGCCUCACAUUGUGCCCCCAAGCCUGAAUCUCGUGGAAAAUGCCAGCUCCGUGGCCCUGACCUGCCAGACCCCCCAUGAGGGGGCUGGAGUCUGUGGCUCCUGAGGGGCCAGGCUCUCCUGCCCAGCGAUCACCUGGUGCUGUCGGCUGACAACAGGAGCCUGGUCAUCCACGGCCUCCGGAGGGACGACACAGGGCCCUAUGAGUGUGAGGUCUGGAACUGGGGCAGCCGGGCACGAAGCGAGCCCUUCAGGCUCGCCAUGAGCUGUGAGUCACCCGGGCUGGGCCUUGUCCUCCUCCCUCCCUCCUUCCCUUCCUCCCUCCUUCCCUCCCUCCUUCCCUCCUUCCCUCCCUCUUUCCCUCCCUCCCUUUCCGUUCUUCCUUCUAGCCAUUUAUUCCACAAUCACCGAAUACCUGCUGUGUGCCAGCCCUGUCUCGGCACCCGACAGGACGCAGCACCAGCCCUGGUGGGGCUUCUAUUCUAGUGGGGAGACAAACCUUAAACAGCUAAGCAGGGGACAGAUGUGUUGUGUCACCGCCGUGGGGCUAAGGAGAACCAGGAGGCAGCGAGAGGGGCAGGGAAGGCCGGGAGGGGAAGGCCUUGCAGUCUUAGCUGGGGUAGUCAGGGCAGGCUUCCCUGAGGAGGUGGCAUUCCUGCAGAAGCUUGUGGGCAGCUAAGGGAAGAGAGCGCCGGGCGGAGGGAGCAGCGUGCGAGGUGGGUGGUGACAAGUGGGCAGAGGAACCCGAGCAGGCCAAGGCGACCAGACAGGUGAACUGGGGCGGAUGGCAUGGAAGAGGUCAGGAGGUUGUAGGGCUGGGGGCAGAUCAUGCAGGGCCCCGUGAGCCGUGGUGAGGACACUGGGAGCCACAGAAGGCUCUGAGUGGAGGGAGGAGAGGAUUAGACUUAGGUUUUCCCAGAGUGUCCUAGGCCCUUGUCUAUGGGGGGCGGGGGUGAAGCGGGGGAGGAGGAGAUUUAGAAAGUUCGGGACCUUGGAGAGGCAGACCCCAGGGUAGGACUAAAGGGGUGACACGGGCGAGGAUUUUGGUAGGAUGAGUGCUCCUGUGCACAAACGAAGGGAGGGAGCUGUGAGGGCUGGGGGAGCCAGUGAGUGAGGUGUUUGACCCUGAGCAAGCAGAGGAGGGGAGGGCAGGGGUGGGGUAGAGAGGGUUGGGUAGAAGUACAGAGACCACCGUGCAGCCUAAGGAACAUUGUCAAGGCGGUAGGGAGAGUCCCAUGUCUCCCAGGAAGGGGUCUGCCUCAGUUUCCCCAACACACCCAGGUAUAAGUAGGGGGGCAGCCCGUGGGGAGGGCCGGCAGUGGAUUCCAGGGCACAGAGGUUGGGCCCUCCGUUACUGAAACCCCUGCCGUCGGAAGCCUGCGAGGCGCCUCCUCCCGGUGGCCACGGCUGUCCGUCAGGAGGUGACGGACCUGGGCCAGGGGGCAGCUGUGGGGGUGAGAAGCGGUGCGACCGUGGAUGCAUUUUGAAUAUCGAACUCACGGGGACAGCGUGCAAAGUGCCGCCGUGGGGCGACGGUGUUUGGGGAACCCGAGGGAAGCCCCCAGAGUCUGGCGGGGGAGGGGGGGUCGUGUGGGAAGGCUCGUGGUGAGAUGUGUCUACCAUGGGAUCCGAAGGACGGGCAAGUUGUCUAGGAAGAGCAGACUCCGGGAAGAGCAUUCCAGAGAAGGAAGAGAAUGUGCGAAGGCUCUGAGGCAAGACGGAACAGGAGAGAGGUGGAAGAUGCAAGCAGGAUGUUAUUUCUGGAUCGGGAGUGGAAGGUGUGGAGAGGUGGGCGGCGGGGCUGGAGGGGUCUGCAAGGGCGAGACUGUGAACGAGCCCCUCAGCCAUGGCCUUUGCCCUAAGGACACUGGGGAGCCAUGGAGGGUUCUGAGUGGGGGAGGGAUAGUGUCAAAUUUGCACUUAGGAAGUCCCCUCUGGUUGCCUUGGGGAGGAUCUGAUGCCAGGAUUGGAAGACCGUGAGGGAUCCUGGUAGCCAGGCGGUUCAGAUGGGGGGGCGGAUAUCAAAGGAUUCCUGGGCGGGGGGUGAGGGCAGGAUUGUCCUCUUUUCUAGGAGGGCAACAACUCAAAGCUCUUUGCAUCCUUCCUUCCAGUGGUUCAUCAUUAAUUUAUUUAAAAAAAAUUUUUUACGUCAUUUUAUUUUUGAAAGAAAGAGAUGAGGGGGGGAGGGGCAGAGAGAGAGAGAGAGAGAGAGAGAGAGGCACGGAAUCUGAAGCAGGAUCUAGGCUGAGCCUUCGGCACAACAGAGCCCCACGCAGGCCUCGAACCCACAGACCGUGAGACCAUGACCUGAGUAGAAGUCAGACUCUCAACCGCUUAACCAACUGGGCCACACCCAGGCACCUGUCACAUUAAUGUAAAUAAGGUAAAGACUCAGGGCACCCGGGGGGCCCGGUCCGUAGGCUGUCGUUUAAAGAAGACAAAGACUCAACUCUCAGUUUGCGUGAGAAAUUCAACAGCCAUUGCGUUUGUUUCCUUCCCUUUCCCUUCGUUUCCUUUCCUUUCCUUCCCUUCCCGUACCAGGCACCUGUCCCAGGCUCUCCUUCUGGCUUCACGGGGCAAAGCCACAAGCAUCUCUCUCUACCUUUGGGGAUACACGGGUGUAAAUUCAAAUAUUGCAACAGGGCUAUUUGCUGUUCGGUUAGAAAGUCCCUCAGAACGGUGACGGUUCUGGAAGUUUAGGGCUCAUGCUUGUGGGACGCGGCAGCAGGACAGGAAAACUCACUGGUGGAGGGUGGAGGCGUGAUGUUUGGCUUUGCACACAGACGGCCCUGACCGAGUGGACAUCACCAGCGGGUCUGCGCCCGGGGUGGUCGGCACCGUGGAGGCCGAGCUCAACUCCAGCCUGACCCUGCGGUGCCGGGCGGAGUCCCAGCCGGGCGCUGAGUUUCGCUGGGCCCUUGAACAGUCCACCGCUGUGCAUGCGGGGCAGGUGCUGAUCAUCCGGGCCCUGACCUGGGAGCACCAGGGGAUCUACGGCUGCACGGCCUCCAACCCGCUGACCCAGCUGGCCCGCUCUGCCUCGGUCCGGGUCAGAGUGGUAGGUGAGUCCCCCAGCGCCCCUUCCCCUGGGGUCCAAGUGGCUUUUCCUGAUGCCGGCCGAAGCUAUGUGGGCUUCUCGCGUGGCAGGGAGUGUGCUGCGUGGGCAGGUUCCCAGUGUGGAGCUGUUCGAUCCCAGCCUAGAACCUCUGCUUCCUAGCCGUGCGCCCCCCGGGAAACCCUUGCAGGCUGCUCUGAGCCUCAGUUUCCUUACCUGUAAACGGGGGUUGUGAUGCCUUCCCUUCCAGAGUUGUUUAGCAGUACAGUGAGUCGGGAGACAGCCCCUGGGUGGAGGAGUGAGGUAGGAAUUCUAUUAAUGAUAGGAAUCACAUGAAUCACAACUGGGUGUGACUGGCAGCGGGUCCCCGUAUUUCUGUCUUGAGUUCUCGAGGGGACAACACGGUGUGGCUCUUAGCCAGGGUUCCGAUCCCAGCUCUGCUGCUUGAUAGCUGUGUGACCCUGGGCGUGCUGCUUAACAUCUCUGGUCCUCUGAUUACUUGUAGGUAACACAGACAUAAUAACCGCGCUUAUAUCCUAGGGUUGUUGAAAAUGAACCGACAUUCGUAAAGUGUUUAUGGCAGUGCCUGGCAUAUUGUGUUUAUUAAACAAAUAGAAUUAUUCUUUGCUGAGCCUGUACCACAUGCUUGAAACAAGCCUUUCCAUAUACCGUAUCAGCAAACACUUCUUGGGUAGCUCCCCAGCCAGCCGGCUCCGAGGUGGGCCUGCUGGCAUCUCUGUUGGGUAGGAGAGACUGAGCCCUGUCCUAGGGUCUGAAGCCAGGAGCGACGUUUUUAGUCAUCGCUGAGCAGAGGACCCGGUGUACCUUCCCAAACUACCAUAUGUAAUCUUCAGAACAACCCUCUGGUCUUGUUAAGACCUUUUUUUUUUUUCUAUUUUUUAAAUGCUUAUUUAAUUUUUGAGAGAGAGAGCAUGAGUAGGGGAGAGGCAGAGAGAGAGGGAGACGCAGAAUCCGAAGCAGGCCCCAGGCUCCGAGCUGUCAGGACGGAGCCCGACGUGGGGCUCGAACCCACGAGCUGUGGGAUCAUGACCUGAGCCGAAGUCGGACGCUUAACCGACUGAGCCACCCAGGUGUCCCCAAGACCUCUUGAUGAAUGGAGAAACAGAGGCUCAGAGGAGGAAGCAGUGAGUCCGGUUGAUGGUCAUGGGGAUGUUGUAGGGUUUGAACGAGAUCACGUAUGAAGGGCUCUCGGAGCUUAGAGCCUGGGGGAAGGCAGCGUCUGGCAUCAUCAUCACCGGAUCGUAUCAUCGCCUUUCACCAAGUGCUGACUCUGUGUCAGGCAUGGCCCUGGUUCUUCCAAGUGGGAUCUCACUUGAUCCCGGCAGAAGCCUAUAGGGUUAUGAAUGGCCAUGCUCAUUUGGCACAGGAAGAAACGAAAGCUCGGAGAAUGAAACCAAGAACCCCCGUCGCAUCCUGGAAGCCCCCCUCCUGUGCCUCCAGAGCAGAGCCCCUUCCUUCUUAAGAGCAGUGUCCUGAUUCUUUCUCCUUGCCCAGGUCCCCAGUCAUCCCUGUCUGCAGGAGCCAUUGGUGGCAUUGCUAUCGGGAUCCUGGCUCUCAUUGCCCUGUCCGCAGGGCUGGGCUGUUUCCUCUGCAUCAGAAAUGCCAGACGG